AUACAGGUGCAGAGGCGCUUGUUUUGGUGUACGAAGUACGAGACAGUCGACAGUUGAGGCGACACGACCAGAAAGUGCAUCAAGAUCGGCUCAUCUGCACUCGUUG
rnacentral:pre_miRNA from 1 species